GGUCCGUUGGCUCAUUGGUUGAGUUUGGAAAACCGGAGGUUGUGGGUUCGAGUCCCAUGUAGAUCG